UACGGAGGGAGCUAGCGUUGUUCGGAAUUACUGGGCGUAAAGCGCACGUAGGCGGCGAUUUAAGUCAGAGGUGAAAGCCCGGGGCUCAACCCCGGAACUGCCUUUGAGACUGGAUUGCUUGAAUCCUGGAGAGGUGAGUGGAAUUCCGAGUGUAGAGGUGAAAUUCGUAGAUAUUCGGAAGAACACCAGUGGCGAAGGCGGCUCACUGGACAGGUAUUGACGCUGAGGUGCGAAAGCGUGGGGAGCAAACAGGAUUAGAUACCCCCGUAGUCC
rnacentral:rRNA from 1 species